CCUACGGGGUGCUGCAGUGGGGAAUAUUGGACAAUGGGCGAAAGCCUGAUCCAGCCAUGCCGCGUGUGUGAAGAAGGCCUUCGGGUUGUAAAGCACUUUCAGUGGGGAAGAAAGCCUUGGGGCUAAUACCCUCGAGGAAGGACAUCACCCACAGAAGAAGCACCGGCUAACUCCGUGCCAGCAGCCGCGGUAAUACGGAGGGUGCGAGCGUUAAUCGGAAUUACUGGGCGUAAAGCGCGCGUAGGCGGUCUGAUAAGCCGGUUGUGAAAGCCCCGGGCUCAACCUGGGAACGGCAUCCGGAACUGUCAGGCUAGAGUGCAGGAGAGGAAGGUAGAAUUCCCGGUGUAGCGGUGAAAUGCGUAGAGAUCGGGAGGAAUACCAGUGGCGAAGGCGGCCUUCUGGACUGACACUUACGCUGAGGUGCGAAAGCGUGGGUAGCAAACAGGAUUAGAUACCCCUGUAGUC
rnacentral:rRNA from 1 species